AGCUAAUACUUGCUUUAGCACUCUUGAUUUAUUUCUUGAGUGUGUACUUGUUAAGCCUUAUAAGAAAAGAGUUAUUAACUUAAGGAAUUAUAACAAAGAAGUAACACGUAAUGGAUCAUUCCAUUUUUAGUGUGUAUCAAUCGAGUUUCUGACCUAUCAGCUUUUGAUGUUAGGGUAUUGGCCUAACAUGGCUAUGACGGGUAACGGGGAAUUAGAGUUCGAUUCCGGAGAGGGAGCCUGAGAAAUAGCUACCACAUCUAAGGAAGGCAGCAGGCGCGUAAUUACCCAAUUCUAAAGAAGAGAGGUAGUGACAAGAAAUAACAAUACAAGGCCAAUCUGGCUUUGUAAUUGGAAUGAUGGGAAUUUAAAACCUUCCCAAAAUUCAAUUGGAGGGCAAGUCUGGUGCCAGCAGCCGCGGUAAUUCCAGCUCCAAUAGCGUAUAUUAAAAUUGUUGCAGUUAAAACGCUCGUAGUUGAAUUUCAAAGAAUCGAUAUUUUAAGUAACGCUUCUAGCUACAAAUCCACAUAACUGAUGCCUCCGCGUAUCGACUUUGUGCGCAUUUUAGCUAUUAUGUGUUCUUUUAAUUAAAAUGAUUCUUUUUAAGAUUCAUCUAUUAAAAAUUAGCUUCGGCAUAAUUUUUUUUGAUGAUCUUGUUACUUUGAGUAAAUUAGAGUGUUCAAAGCAAACAGAUAUAGCAUUUGUGCGUUUGAAUACUACAGCAUGGAAUAACAAAAUUGAACAAGUCAGAAUUUUUUUGUUCUUUUUUCUUAUUUUGGCUUAGUUACGAUUAAUAGGAGUAGCUUGGGGGCAUUUGUAUUCAGAUGUCAGAGGUGAAAUUCUUAGAUUUUCUGGAGACAAACAACUGCGAAAGCAUUUGCCUAAAAUACUUCCAUUAAUCAAGAACGAAAGUUAAGGGAGUGAAGACGAUCAGAUACCGUCGUAAUCUUAACCAUAAACUAUGCCGACUAGGCUUUGGAUGAAAGAUUUUAAAAUAAGAGUUUU
rnacentral:rRNA from 1 species